rnacentral:rRNA from 1 species
AUUGAACGCUGGCGGCAGGCCUAACACAUGCAAGUCGAGCGGAUGAAGGGAGCUUGCUCCUGGAUUCUGCGGCGGACGGGUGAGUAAUGCCUAGGAAUCUGCCUGGUAGUGGGGGAUAACGUCCGGAAACGGGCGCUAAUACCGCAUACGUCCUGAGGGAAAAAGUGGGGGAUCUUCGGACCUCACGCUAUCAGAUGAGCCUAGGUCGGAUUAGCUAGUUGGUGGGGUAAAGGCCUACCAAGGCGACGAUCCGUAACUGGUCUGAGAGGAUGAUCAGUCACACUGGAACUGAGACACGGUCCAGACUCCUACGGGAGGCAGCAGUGGGGAAUAUUGGACAAUGGGCGAAAGCCUGAUCCAGCCAUGCCGCGUGUGUGAAGAAGGUCUUCGGAUUGUAAAGCACUUUAAGUUGGGAGGAAGGGCAGUAAGUUAAUACCUUGCUGUUUUGACGUUACCAACAGAAUAAGCACCGGCUAACUUCGUG